AUUACCCGCUCACUGUCCGACGGCCCAGAAAGUACAGCCUGAGAAAGCAGAGUUUGAUCUGCAUUUUGGACCAAACUACCACCCAACGUUUGAGAUCCGGCUGCCUGCAAACACAGAACAAGCGACUGUAACGGUCCGAGACCAAACGGAUGCAGAUGUCUGGAAGCACGAGUUUGACCUGACUGGUCCUGAUCCAGCAUGGACUCCUAGUUUCCCAAGAUGGACUUCAAGUGUCCCAGCAGGGACUUCAAGUGUCCCAGCAGGGACAUCUCAUGUCCCAGCAGGGACUCCUAGUGUCCCAGCAUGGACUCCUAGUGUCCCAGCAGGGACCCAGAGUGUCCCAGCAGGGACAUCUAGUUUCCUAGGAUGGACUCCUAGUGUCCCAGCAGGGACUUCGAGUGUCCCAGCAGGGACUUCUAGUGUCCCAGCAGGGACUUCUCGUGUCCCAGCAGAAAAGAAGCUGAAGUCUGUUCGGACACAGUUCAUCGACAGAGUGUCUGAACCUGUUCUCCGUAAGCUGCUGGAUAAACUCCUGGAGCGUGGGGUGAUAACUGAUGGUGAACUGGAGUGUGUUGUAACACAGAACACACGGGUGGAC